rnacentral:rRNA from 1 species
UACGUAGGGGGCUAGCGUUAUCCGGAAUUACUGGGCGUAAAGGGUGCGUAGGUGGUUUCUUAAGUCGGAGGUGAAAGGCUACGGCUCAACCGUAGUAAGCCUUUGAAACUGGGAAACUUGAGUGCAGGAGAGGAGAGUGGAAUUCCUAGUGUAGCGGUGAAAUGCAUAGAGAUUGGGAGGAACACCAGUGGCGAAGGCGACUUACUGGGCCGUAACUGACGUUGAUGCGCGAAAGCGUGGGGAGCGAACAGGAUUAGAUACCCCUGUAGUCCCUGAGCGGGCU